CCCUAUCUGCCGUGGGUGUUGAAGAAUUGAGAGGAGUUACUCCUAGUACGAGAGGACCGGAGUGAACGUACCAAUGGUGUACCAGUUGUCGUGCCAUCGGCAUCGCUGGGUAGCCAAGUACGGACGGGAUAACCGCUGAAAGCAUCUAAGCGGGAAGCCUCCCUCGAAACUAAUUCUUCCAUGAGAGUCGUGGUAGACCACCACGUUGAUAGGUCAGGUGUGGAAGUGCAGUAAUGCAUGAAGCUAACUGAUACUAAUAACUCGAUCGGCUUGAUUUU
rnacentral:rRNA from 1 species